GAUGAACGCUGACAGAAUGCUUAACACAUGCAAGUCUACUUGAACUUCGGUUUGGGUGGCGGACGGGUGAGUAACGCGUAAAGAACUUGCCUCACAGUUAGGGACAACAUUUGGAAACGAAUGCUAAUACCUGAUAUUAUGAUUUUAGGGCAUCCUAAGAUUAUGAAAGCUAUAUGUGCCGUGAGAGAGCUUUGCGUCCCAUUAGCUAGUUGGAGAGGUAACGGCUCACCAAGGCGAUGAUGGGUAGCCGGCCUGAGAGGGUGAACGGCCACAAGGGGACUGAGACACGGCCCUUACUCCUACGGGAGGCAGCAGUGGGGAAUAUUGGACAAUGGACCAAAAGUCUGAUCCAGCAAUUCUGUGUGCACGAUGACGUUUUUCGGAAUGUAAAGUGCUUUCAGUUGGGAAGAAAAAAAUGACGGUACCAACAGAAGAAGUGACGGCUAAAUACGUGCCAGCAGCCGCGGUAAUACGUAUGUCACAAGCGUUAUCCGGAUUUAUUGGGCGUAAAGCGCGUCUAGGUGGUUAUGUAAGUCUGAUGUGAAAAUGCAGGGCUCAACUCUGUAUUGCGCUGGAAACUGCAUGACUAGAGUACUGGAGAGGUAAGCGGAACUACAAGUGUAGAGGUGAAAUUCGUAGAUAUUUGUAGGAAUGCCGAUGGGGAAGCCAGCUUACUGGACAGAUACUGACGCUAAAGCGCGAAAGCGUGGGUAGCAAACAGG
rnacentral:rRNA from 1 species